rnacentral:lncRNA from 1 species
UCUAGUUUAGUGGUGCUAUGCUGUCAAAUCCUCCCUCAUGUUUCUAGUUUAGUGGUGCUAUGCUGUCAAAUCCUCCCUCAUGUUUCUAGUUUAGUGGUGCUAUGCUGUCAAAUCCUCCCUCAUGUUUCUAGUUUAGUGGUGCUAUGCUGUUAAAUCCUCCCUCAUGUUUCUAGUUUAGUGGUGCUAUGCUGUCAAAUCCUCCCUCAUGUUUCUAGUUUAGUGGCGCUAUGCUGUCAAAUCCUCCCUCAUGUUUCUAUUUAGUGGUGCUAUGCUGUCAAAUCCUCCCUCAUGUUUCUAGUUUAGUGGUGCUAUGCUGUCAAAUCCUCCCUCAUGUUUCUAGUUUAGUGGUGCUAUGCUGUUAAAUCCUCCCUCAUGUUUCUAGUUUAGUGGUGCUAUGCUGUCAAAUCCUCCCUCAUGUUUCUAGUUUAGUGGUGCUAUGCUGUCAAAUCCUCCCUCAUGGUUCUAGUUUAGUGGUGCUAUGCUGUCAAAUCCUCCCUCAUGUUUCUAGUUUAGUGGCGCUAUGCUGUCAAAUCCUCCCUCAUGUUUCUAGUUUCACCAGCUGAUUUCAGCUACUGAUAUUUUUUUAAUUUGAUUGUCAUAUUGGCAGGUUUGCUAGCAACAAGCUAUCUAGCUAGCUUCUAGCCUAGUGUUUUUAUAUGCAAUGUGUUCUCCUCGUAAUGAACAGUCAGUGUCGACAAGUGUCCUGAUCAGAUGGCAAAAUCAGGCAUCAUCAGCUCAUUGUUAUGGAUGUUGCCAAAUGUACAGGAUGUCAACAGAAAACAGCUACAUUGCUGUUAUUCUGGCUGCAGAGAUUGUGACUGUGUUAGCCAUAGCUAGCUGGCUGGCUAGCUAGCAAGCAAGGGAUAAGUACGUUGCCAGCAAACACAGCAACAGAGCGUAAAGAACGAACGACUGGGUCGGCAUCCGUAAAUAUCAAACUAAUCGAACGCACGACUGGGUCGGCAUCCGUAAAUAUCAAACUAACGGAACGAACGACUGGGUCGGCAUCCGUAAAUAUCAAACUAAUCGAACGAACGACUGGCAACUAAAAUAUGAUCAAGCAUGAAUUUGCGUAUAUAAAUGAAAAUAUUUUAGAAAAUGUUUUAUUUCCAAAUGGAAUGGCCCAUUUACAUGAACUGUCUCUUCUGUGUAUAAACAUUGACAUAAUGUCACGUCCUGACCAGUAUAAAGGCUAAUUGUCAUUGUAGUUUGGUCAGGACGUGGCAGAGGGUAUUCGUUUUAUGUGGUUCUGGGGUGGUGUGUUUGUUGAAGGGGCAUUUGAUUUAAGUAUUCCGGGGGUUUUUGGGCACUGUUUGAUUUUCAUGUAAUUCUAUGUUGAGUCUAGUGUGUCUAUUUCUAUGUUUGGGUUAAUUGGGGUUGGGACUCUCAAUUGAAGGCAGGUGUUGUCUAUUUGCCUUUGAUUGAGAGUCCCAUAUAUUAGGGUGUGUUUGUCAUUUGUGGGAGAUUGUUCCGUGUUUAGCCUUGUGCCUUGCCAGACUGUUUUGUUGAUCGUUCGUUCUUUUUUUUUGUUAUUUUUGUGUUCAUUUUGAAUUUAUUAAAACGUCAAGAUGAGCAUACACAUACCUGCUGCGUUUUGGUCCUCCAUUUCCCGACGACAACUGUGACACAUAAGGAAUAUUUCAAGUAGAUUCUAUUUCUAUAUAUUCUGUAUAUCGUAACAUUGUUGUUAUUUUUACAUUUUAAAGGUCAGUUAAUACCAUCCAUAUUCCAGGUAAUGAUCUGAUGGCUGUGGGUAGAUACAAUGCUUUUUUAAAAUGUUCUUUUUUUAAAUGUAUCCUUUUAUUUAACAGGGCAAGUCGGUUAAGAACAAAUUCUUAUUUACAAUGACGGCCUACAAAAAAGGCAAAAGGUUUCCUGCGGGGACAGGUGGCUGGGAUUAAAGAUAAAUACUAGAUCAAAUAAAAAUGUAGGACAAAACACACAUCACGACAAGAGAGACAACACAACACUACAUGGUAGCAACACCACAUGACAACAACAUGGUAGCAACACAACAUGGUAGCAACACAACAUGGUAGCAACACAACAUGGUAGCAACACAACAUGACAACACAGCAUGGUAGCAACACAACAUGGUAGCAGCACUAAACACGGUACAAACAUUAUUGGGCGCAGACAACAGCACAAAGGGCAAGAAGGUAGAGACAACAAUACAUCACACAAAGCAGCCACAACUGUCAGUAAGAGUGUCCAUGUUUGAGUCUUUGAAUAAAGAGAUGGAG